GAUGCACGAUAAUGGAGGUGUUGUGCCCGCGGUAACAGAGAUGUACAAGGAUACCCACUUCAAUAAGGACACACAAAAAUGGAUCUCUUCAGAAUCCGAAGUUCUCUAUGAUAAGAUGGUACAAAUAGAGACUGAACAUAAUGCGUAGGAAGGUGCAAUCCCGAUUACGCAAGAGGAGCUCUCCGUUAAAGGACUCAAGGCAAAGUCAGGCUAUGUGAAUGGACUUGGCAUUAGGCCUUCCUCCUCUAUUAGGACUGUGAACAGGGAGUAUGUAACACACCUCGAGGGAAAGGUGCAAGAGCAAGCUGAAAAAAUUCAGGAGCAAGCGGAAGGAAUUGAAGCAGCAAACAAUAAGAUAGAGGAACAGGGGAAGACUUUGGCUAGUGUUAUGGCGUUUCUUAAACAACAAGGAUUCACCGGUUAACAACUUGCUGAUUGAAUACACAUAAGGUUUGUAGGGGGGAAGAUGGUAUAUAGACGUUCUUCUAUGAAGACUUUUUGUUUGGAUAUAUGAAGACUCCUUUUUGGGAUGAAGGUCCGAGUCUUCUUUUUUGGAUGUAUGCUUCUAUGAAGACUCCUUUUUGGGAUGAAGGUCCGAGUCUUCUUUUCUGGAUAUAUGCUUCUAUGAAGACUCCUUUUUUGGAUGAAGUUCCGAGUCUUCUUUUUUCAUUUUAAUGAUGCUACAGAACUAUGAUGAACAUAUAUGGUAUGGUCUACCUUUCAUGUUUUUGUCAUGGGAAUAUUGAUGCUUUAGAUCCUAUGGUUGAAUGGACAUUAAUUUGGUAUAGAAUACAUAGUUUUUGUGGUUAA